ACCAUCAACGCCAACUGUGUUCAGUGUUUCUUUUGUAUCAUGUAAGUGUGACUUUGAACAUGCUCAUAUAAACAUCUUUGUAUUUUAUGUGUAGGUCAGUGCCUUUGGAAAUACUGGCUACAGUGGAGGUCAGCAGAUGUGGACAGAAAUAUAUAUGCGGUAUCCAUCCGUCGGUUCAUGCCAGAUUCCCCAGCUUGUCCCUAACUUCCGCGAUGUCCAAUGGAGUGACACCUCUGUUAAGUGGUGUAGAAACGGACAAGCAUCAUGCUCAUUAUAAAAAAA